UACAGAGGGUGCGAGCGUUGUUCGGAAUUAUUGGGCGUAAAGGGCGCGUAGGCGGUGCGGUAAGUCACCUGUGAAAUCUCCCGGCUCAACCGGGAGCUUGCAGGCGAAACUGCCGUGCUGGAGUGUGGGAGAGGUGCGUGGAAUUCCCGGUGUAGCGGUGAGAUGCGCAGAUAUCAGGAAGAACACCCGUGGCUAAGGCGGCUCUCUAGUACGGUACUGACGCUGAGACGCGAAAGCGUGGGGAGCGAACAGG
rnacentral:rRNA from 1 species